rnacentral:misc_RNA from 1 species
CCGAGCGAGGGCCCCGGCUCGACCUCCCACCCUUUGAAUUAACCAACUUCUGUUGCCUCGGGGGCGACCCGGUCGCGUCGGAUUCCCGACGUCGGCGUCGGGGCCCCCGACGGACCCCCUUCUCACGCUGCAUCUUUGCGUCGGGUUGAUCAGAAAAUCAAUCA